rnacentral:rRNA from 1 species
AUACGGAGGGUGCAAGCGUUACUCGGAAUCACUGGGCGUAAAGCGCGCGCAGGCGGCCAUUUAAGUUGGACGUGAAAGCCUACGGCUCAACCGUAGAACUGCAUCCAAAACUAUUUGGCUAGAGUGUGGGAGAGGAAGACGGAAUUAGUUGUGUAGGGGUAAAAUCCGUAGAGAUAACUGGGAAUACCAAAAGCGAAGGCAAUCUUCUGGAACAUUACUGACGCUGAGGCGCGAAAGCGUGGGGAGCAAACAGGAUUAGAUACCCUUGUAGUCC